UCUUGAGAGCGGCGGACGGGUGAGUAAUACCUAGGAAUCUGCCUGGUAGUGGGGGAUAACGUUCGGAAACGGACGCUAAUACCGCAUACGUCCUACGGGAGAAAGCAGGGGACCUUCGGGCCUUGCGCUAUCAGAUGAGCCUAGGUCGGAUUAGCUAGUUGGUGAGGUAAUGGCUCACCAAGGCUACGAUCCGUAACUGGUCUGAGAGGAUGAUCAGUCACACUGGAACUGAGACACGGUCCAGACUCCUACGGGAGGCAGCAGUGGGGAAUAUUGGACAAUGGGCGAAAGCCUGAUCCAGCCAUGCCGCGUGUGUGAAGAAGGUCUUCGGAUUGUAAAGCACUUUAAGUUGGGAGGAAGGGCAUUAACCUAAUACGUUAGUGUUUUGACGUUACCGACAGAAUAAGCACCGGCUAACUCUGUGCCAGC
rnacentral:rRNA from 1 species